GACGAACGCUGGCGGCGUGCCUAAUACAUGCAAGUAGAACGCUGAAGAGAGGAGCUUGCUCUUCUUGGAUGAGUUGCGAACGGGUGAGUAACGCGUAGGUAACCUGCCUUGUAGCGGGGGAUAACUAUUGGAAACGGUAGCUAAUACCGCAUAACAAUGGAUGACACAUGUCAUUUAUUUGAAAGGGGCAAUUGCUCCACUACAAGAUGGACCUGCGUUGUAUUAGCUAGUAGGUGAGGUAAUGGCUCACCUAGGCGACGAUACAUAGCCGACCUGAGAGGGUGAGCAGCCAGACUGAGAGGGAGACCCGGCACAGACGCCUACGGGAGGCGGCAGUAGGGAAUCGUGAGCAAUGGGGGCAGCACAGAGCGAGCAACGCCGAGUGAGGGAGGAAGGUUUUCGGGUGGGAGAGCUCUGUUGUAAGGCAGGAACGGGUGUGAGAGUGGAAAGUACACACUGUGACGGUAGCUUACCAGAAAGGAACGGCUAACUACGUG
rnacentral:rRNA from 1 species